rnacentral:rRNA from 1 species
ACGAACGCUGGCGGCAUGCUUAACACAUGCAAGUCGAGCGGGGAGGAGGAAGCUUGCUUCCGAAUCCUAGCGGCGGACGGGUGAGUAACGCGUGAGCAACCUGCCUCAAACUGGGGGAUAACGCAUCGAAAGAUGUGCUAAUACCGCGUAAGACCACGGUACCGCAUGGUACAGAGGUCAAAGGAGCAAUCCGGUUUGAGAUGGGCUCGCGUCCGAUUAGCUAGUUGGCGGGAUAACAGCCCACCAAGGCGACGAUCGGUAGCCGACCUGAGAGGGUGAUCGGCCACAUUGGAACUGAGAUACGGUCCAGACUCCUACGGGAGGCAGCAGUGGGGAAUAUUGGGCAAUGGGCGAAAGCCUGACCCAGCGACGCCGCGUGAGGGAAGACGGUCUUCGGAUUGUAAACCUCCUUUAUUAGGGACGAAACAUGACGGUACCUAAUGAAUAAGCCACGGCUAACUACGUG